CCCCGGCGAGCUGCCCCAUCCCGAGCGCCGCCAGUCUCCCCCAACCUCCGGUGCCUCCCGGAUCCGCCACCUCCACGCGGUGGCCAGCUCCUCCGCCAGAUCGCGCCACGCGCAGCCGUACCCACCGUCCCGCCGGCGCCAGCGGCCCGACCCAGGUGGCGCUUCGACGGACCUCCUCCCGGCGAGGCCCGACGCCAACGCCGGGGAUCUCCAGGAGCGGUCGUCCCCUGCUGCGGAUCGCGCCGCCGCCGUCCCCAGCGCUUCUAUACAACCUUCGCCGACCGCCGCCACCAAUCUUCAGAUGCGCCGCCCCGGCAGAUCCGACGCGUCUCCUUGACCUCCCAGGCGAUGCCACCGGCAAAGCUAGGUUGGGGCCAUCCAUCUCCUCUCGCCCCCCGGCAAGGCUCCCCCGUGACCACGCAGCCAAGCUGCCGCAUCAAACUGGCCGUUCAACACCGCCGUCUUGGGACGUUCAAUGACGUGGCCCCAGGACGUUCGCUGUCGCAGCGCACGGAUCACACUGUCACCAUGCUUCAUGAGGCCGAGAUAUUUCCAUUCUUCAUUCGUCGAUUUCGGAUUGAACUGAGAAGUCAGGUGCUUCUCCUUUCACUCCCAUCCACUUUGCUGCAUGAAAUGGUUCCUCGGUCCCUCAUCCGCAUUUGUAUUUGAACUACAGUGCAGACGCAAUUUGAGCUUCCCUCUCUCUCCGAUACAGGUUCGCAAGUGUCAUGUUUGGCUGUUCGCCGCAGCAGCCCGGAGGUGCUCAUGUAGCCGACCAAGAACAGGGCUGGGACAGGGAUAUUUUUGUUCUCAAACACGUCGCUGCGUAUGUGUGUAUAUGAACAUUUUACUCCAUGUUGUUCUUUACAUUCUGUCAUCUCCUAUAGAGUUUAUGAUGCAUAAUGACUAUUGGAUGGAUUAUUUGUUCAUGUGAAUGAAUGCAUUUUGUCUCUCAAACAAGAAUUAUGUGUUGGUUAUCACGUGCCAUAACAACUUAUUCUUUGGGGAUCUUUGUAUGUAAAGUGUAUCAUUCAAGAAGGUAUGUGUUGCAAAAAAUAUAUUUCUCUCGUUAUAAAUAAACAUGCACUUUGUAUAAUCCGGUCCACGAUAAUAAAUCAUUGUGAGAAAAGAAGUGCACCGAUUGAGCCCUUGCCCAACAGUCUAUGUUAUUUUCUACGUUCCUGCUACUGAAAACAGAGGAGAACGGCUGCUCGGAUUUUCUCUGAACUUCCUUGUUCUUCACUGUGGCGAUACAUGCUCAGCUCUCCCUCUCCGAACUCCUGCAAAACAAGAAUGGUCUGGGUGGACGAGCUAGCCUGAGGCUUGGUCUUGCUCGCCGGCGUUGGGCGCAGUUCGGCUGGAAAGAAGAAGGAGCUCCAUCCAGCCUAUGAAGUUUAGCUGGUGAGCAUGUGCAGUCCGACGGCGCGUGUGUGCUUGUGUCCGGUUCACGGGCGUACUGUGUGUGGUGCUUGCGUGCACACGGCAGCCACAUGUUGUAUGAGGAGAAGCCAAGCUAAAAAGAAGAACACACUACGCAAGACAGGCACAGAGAGGUUCAGGGCUUCAGGCAAUGUGAUGGUGCAGCCGCUGCAGCAUCAACUACAACAGCGCGGCGCUCCUGGUGCUCCUCUCCCUCUGCUGCUUUGCAUGCUGCGAUGCCACCGCCUCCUCACUGUACGAAAAGGUUUGAGUGGGGAAAAAUUGCAGCUCAUGAAUGAACCUGGAGAAGUUCUAAUGCGAUGGUGCUAUUCUCUGCAGUUAUUUGUUUCUCGUGAAUGCAUUUGGUUGUGGCUGAUGGAUCUCUAUAUUCAUAUAUUAUUUGCUUUAUUUUGGUGUGACUUGCACCCAGCUC